GAUGAACGCUAGCGGCAGGCUUAACACAUGCAAGUCGAGGGGUAGGUUACUUCGGUAAUUGAGACCGGCGCACGGGUGCGUAACGCGUAUACAAUCUACCUUUUACAGAGGGAUAGCCCAGAGAAAUUUGGAUUAAUACCUCAUAGUAUUUUUGAAUCGCAUGAUUUGAUUAUUAAAGUUCCAACGGUAAAAGAUGAGUAUGCGUCCCAUUAGCUAGAUGGUAAGGUAACGGCUUACCAUGGCUACGAUGGGUAGGGGUCCUGAGAGGGAGAUCCCCCCACACUGGUACUGAGACACGGACCAGACUCCUACGGGAGGCAGCAGUGAGGAAUAUUGGACAAUGGGCGCAAGCCUGAUCCAGCCAUGCCGCGUGCAGGAAUAAGGUCCUAUGGAUUGAAACUGCUUUUANACAGGAAGAAACACACCCUCGUGAGGGUACUUGACGGUACUGUAAUGAAUAAGGACCGGCUAACUCCGUGCCAGCAGCCGCGGU
rnacentral:rRNA from 1 species